rnacentral:lncRNA from 1 species
AUUUGCGGAGUUGGUUCCGCCAGGGAGGAGAACUCGCGUGCUUUGUGCAGAGGGGAUUCAGCCUGCGCAGCGUGGCUCGGGGGCGCCGUGGAGCCUCCCGAAGGCGAUCAAAAUGAAACACAUCCCCCAGCGAAAGCACGCACUAGCUCCGUUCUCCCGAGGAGAGUUUCCAGUGACUUGAGCGAGGGUGACCCAGGUAUGCCAAUCCUUGGGGGUGGGACGGUGACCUGAGGCCCACGGUCUGGGAAAAGGCUCCUGUGUGGCUGAACCCGCCCGAGGUGGGUGCAGCCCCGUACCAGACAGCCCGACCUUGACCUAAAGUAAAAUCCCAGAGGAGGAGGAUCUUCCCUGGGGUUAGAAUUUGCAGUAACAGGUGUGGACAUCCUAGCAGCAGUUUGGUGGUCAUGUAUGAUACUGCAAACAGGAACCCUUCUGAAGCUGUGGGGAC